rnacentral:rRNA from 1 species
AGAGUUUGAUCAUGGUCUCAGAUCGAACGCUGGCGGCAUGCGUAACACAUGCAAGUCGAACGGUGUUUGGUGCUUGCACCAGACAUAGUGGCGGACGGGUGAGUAAUGCGUAGGAAUCUGUCUUAAGGAGAGGGGGACAACCCGAGGAAACUUGGGCUAAAACCGCAUAUUCUCGAGAGAGGAAAGCAGGGGACCGGAAACGGCCUUGUGCUCUAAGGUGAGCCUACGUCGGAUUAGCUAGUUGGUAGGGUAAAAGCCUACCAAGGCGAUGAUUUGUAGCUGGUCUGAGAGGACGGACAGCCACACUGGGACUGAGACACGGCCCAGACUCCUACGGGAGGCAGCAGUGGGGAAUAUUGGACAAUGGGGGGGAACCCUGAUCCAGCGAUGCCGCGUGUGUGAAGAAGGCCUGCGGGUUGUAAAGCACUUUCAGUGGGAAAGAGAAGCGUCUUGUGAAUAAUGGGACGUGGAGACGUUACUCACAGAAGAAGCACCGGCUAACUCUGUG